CCUACGGGAGGCAGCAGUGGGGAAUAUUGGACAAUGGGGGGAACCCUGAUCCAGCCAUGCCGCGUGUGUGAAGAAGGCCCUCGGGUUGUAAAGCACUUUCAGUGAGGAAGAACGCCUGGUGGUUAAUACCCAUCAGGAAAGACAUCACUCACAGAAGAAGCACCGGCUAACUCCGUGCCAGCAGCCGCGGUAAUACGGAGGGUGCGAGCGUCAAUCGGAAUUACUGGGCGUAAAGCGCGCGUAGGUGGCUUGAUAAGCCGGUUGUGAAAGCCCCGGGCUCAACCUGGGAACGGCAUCCGGAACUGUCAAGCUAGAGUGCAGGAGAGGAAGGUAGAAUUCCCGGUGUAGCGGUGAAAUGCGUAGAGAUCGGGAGGAAUACCAGUGGCGAAGGCGGCCUUCUGGACUGACACUGACACUGAGGUGCGAAAGCGUGGGUAGCAAACAGGAUUAGAUACCCUAGUAGUC
rnacentral:rRNA from 1 species